rnacentral:lncRNA from 1 species
ACAGGAAGUACCCUGUCUGACCAUUUCUUGGCCUUCUUUGUCAUCUCUAUCCAAAACAGAGGAUCUCUGCUGUAACGUGACACUUUCUAAGGCUCCCAUAGGCUCUCAGAAGGCGCCAGAACGUUGAAUGAUGACUCUGCAGUCUUUGGCUGAAAAACAGUAGCGCAUUUGGAUAGUGGUCGAUCUGAGAACAAUGAGACGGGCGCACGCGUGCACGUGAAGAGGCCAUUUUACAUUUUCAGUCUUUGAACGAAAACAACGACUCCCGGUCGGAAUAUUAUCGCUAUUUUACGAGAAAAAUCGCAUAAAAAUGGAUUUUAAACAGCGUUUGACAUGCUUCGAAGUACGGUAAUGGAAUAUUUUGAAUUUUUUUGUCACGAAACGCGCCGGCGCGUCACCCUUCGGAUAGUGUCUUGAACGCACGAACAAAACGCCGCUAUUUGGAUAUAACUAUGGAUUAUUUGGAACCAAACCAACAUUUGUUGUUGAAGUAGAAGUCCUGGGAGUGCAUUCUGACGAAGAACAGCAAAGUUGAUUUGGUGUUCAGCAGCAUAAGUGUCUGACCACUGAAGAGAACGCAAGUUCUACAGCUACAGCAGGUCAAUCCACCAAUAUAUGUCAUGCACCAUGGGCAGAUGUAUCGAAGUUUGCAAGCUGGUCUUAUGGGUUGCAGUUUGUGUGACCUUCAUCGUCUUGGGUGCCGUGUACAUUGAUGACUGCCCAGUGAAACGUAUCAUACCUAUCCACAUGAUCAUUUCUGGAUCUUUCGGUCUCCUCUAUGUAUUCUUCUCCUGCUACAAGGACCGUGUUGUGUGCCAACAUUUGUCUAAACUAUUUUGGUUCAUGAUCAUCAUCUGGCUCAUUAUUGGCCAUUUUUGGACCUUCUCUGUAUUCCAACCCAACUACGAACGGAAAGAGAUCAUCGGCAACACGGUAUACUGCAACAAAUCUCUAUACCUCUUUGUGGCCUCUACCACCAUCAUAUUGGACAUUAUUAUAUGUGUGUGGCUGCUUGUGUUGUUCGAUGUAUGUAAAUGCUUCAUACUUUGUCUGUUCUGCUGUGUCUCUUUAUGCAUGUCUGACGAUGUCAAACCUGUGGAGGUUGUUGAGCCUUUGAGGGUUGUGGAGACUGAGGACUGUGUUGAACCUAAGGAGUGUGUGGGGACUGACGGAAGUGUGGGGACUGAAGUGUGUGUGGGGACUGAAGUGUGUGCGGGGACUGAAGUGUGUGCGGGGACUGAAGUGUGUGUGGGGACUGAGGUGUGUGUGGGGACUGAGGUAUGUGUGGAGACUCAGGAGAGUGUGGGGCAUGACGAGAGUGUGGGACAUGAAGAGAGUGUGAGUCCAACACUGCUCAAUAUUAAUGCAAUUCACUAUUCACAAUACCAAUAGUAAUUUACAUGAAUUUGUCUCUUUUGGGGGUGAGAUAAUGUAAAAAAUGUAGAUGUCAUCAUAAAAAAUAAGCAAUCAAUGGGUAAAUUUGUGCCAUUAUGUUGCCAAAGAUCAGAAGAUUCAAAUAAAAAUAUUAAUUCCCACUUUGAUUUUCAAGAUUUAAAAUAUACCUAUUUUAUCAUUACCAUUUUUGAACAGAAUGAUAAUCAUUUGGCUAAUAGGCUUAACACACCCGCCCUGAAAUAGUUUAGUGGAACGGCCCAUCAACGAAAACGCAUACCCAAAGAAAAUGGACAGGUGUGUUAAAAUGCCUGGGCCGACUUUUGGUCCGAUUUUGCCCCUGCUGUGGUUCGUAAAUCAUUACAAUUAUAAUAACUAACUGGAUCAAAUUGUGUGACCAUCAUCUUAGUGCUUGACAAAUACUAGGCCUAAGCACAAUGCCUCUCCCCUAUUUGACCUAGAUAGUUUGUGUACGUAUUAAUAUGUAGGCUAAGUGUGCCUUUAAUAAAAAAAUAUAUAAUUUACGUAGUUCUGUCCUUAAGCUGUUGUCUAUUAAUGUUCUGUAUUAUGUCAUGUUUUGUGUGGACCCCAGGAAGAGUAGCUGCUGCUUCACUAGCACAGAGAGGCUGCUGCCUAUUUACACAGACUUCAAAUCACUGGCCACUUUAAUAAAUGGAACAAUAAAUGUUUACAUAUGUUGCAUUACUCUUCUCAUAUGUAUAUACUGUAUUCUAUGCUGUUCUACUGUAUCUUAGUCAAUGCCGCUCUGACAUUGCUUGUCCAUAUGUUUAUGUAUUCUUACAGUUUUUCACAAUUGCUAAAACACAAUUUCUGAAACCUUGCUCCAUUUCCUGAAAACAUUAAACACAAAACCUCAUCUUCAAGCACUAUUUACAUAACCUCUGACUCCUCUCGCAAAAUGAAACAUUCGCCUCAAAACAGUUUUACCUGUGUUCAAAAUCAAACACUGCUCUCAAAUCAUAAACAAAGUGAUCAAAAUGAUAUACACUCUCAAGCAGUCAGUAAACAAUAUACCGAAAAAUAGAAAACACAUUGUUCAAAACAUACAAUUCUCAGGGAGAAGUACAUUUUUAAUCUAAAAAAAUAUUCAUAUUUUUCUGUCAUUGUCUUUUGAUGAACGAAAACAUGUUCUAUCAUAGUAGCUCAAAAUUAAUCAGAAAUUACUACUCUGCUUUGCUCUUUGCAAUUUUGUUUUUUGUUCUUCCUCCUCCUUGUACCCCUAUUUUUACAGUACUGUACCCUGCAUCUCACAAACUUGUCCUUUGUCUCUGUGAUACUGUAAUUCUUGUUCUUUGUUGAUAUGAACCUGCAACCAGUCAAAAUCUAUUGAGCAGUCAGUACUGUUAAUAAAUGGAAAGCACAAUGUUCAGGGCCAUACAAUUUGUCCAUUGUACAGUAUACAGCCUACAAUGCACUCACUGUACUACAGUAUACAAUACUAAAAGGGACAAAAAUCAAAGGAGUAAAUAUGUGAUCAAUGUGCUUCUUCUUGUCUUUCGGCUGGGUCAGGCCAGAGCAUUUCGUCGACAUCACAAGCAAUAUUGUCCCUCCUGAGGCAACGGGGGAAGAAGUCUCUUGUGUGCCGUAUCCAGCCCUGACCUGAUUCCUCACCUAUAUCACCACAGGCUAAAUCCAUGGCUUGCAGCAGAUUUACUCUGGUGUAGGGUUGUCUAUCAUACACUUUCCAUCUCCAAGAGGAGAAAAACUCCUCAAUCGGAUUCAGGAAAGGUGAGUAUGGAGGGAGGUACAAGUUCAUAAACUGCCCAUUGAUGUUAAACUAUUCCCUUACCUGAGCAGCUCGGUGGAAACUGACAUUGUCCCACACUAUCACAUAGGUGGGAAUGGGAUUCUCAUUUAGCUCUUGACCCUGCUGCUCUUGAACCUGCUGCUCAAAUAAAAUAUCUCUUAGAUUGGCAAUAAAUCUUAGAAGGUGCUGGGUGUUAUAUGGCCCGAGUGUAACAUGGUGAUGUAGAACACCAUGGUUGCUGAUAGCAGCACAGAUUGUGACAUUGCCACCUCGUUGACCAGGGACUUCAACAAUGGCCCGCUGUCCAAUCAUGUUUCGGCCUCUCCUUCUCCUCUUUGUUAGAUUGAAGCCUGCUUCAUCGACAAAGAUGAACUCAUAGGGUCUGUCCAAGGAUUCCAAGUCAAAUAUUGUCUGUGUAGAAAUACAAUAUACUGUAUGUAGGAUUUUGUAAGACAUACAGAGACAGUGCUAUACUGUAGAGUACAAUUAGGCCUACUGUAUGCACUUCUGAUUCACAUACAUUGUAUGUACUGAAGAGUAAUGUCAUUCACAUAGUAUGUGUUAGUACUGUAGACAAUCUGGAUUACAGUAAAUGUUUCUGAAUGUACACUUACUUGCACAUACUGAGCUCGCAGUUCUUUCACCCUUGGUGAGUUGCGCUCAAAAGGUACUCUGUAUACUUGUUUCAUUUGCAUCCUGUUACGAUGGAGAACACGGCCAAUUGUGGAAAUGCUCACACUGUCGAUUCCCUGGAAGUGUGUGUUGUCUUGUAUCACUCGUUCCUGGAUAUCUCUGAGUCGUAUUGCAUUAUCUUGAAGGACCAUGCCAACUAUAACGGUCUCUUGCUCCCGAGUGAAUAUAGCUGUCCUUCCACCUGCAUGUGGCAGCCUUGCAAUUCUACAAAAAGUAGUUGUGCAGUUACAAAACAUAUUCAUGCAGUACAAUACAUACAGUGAUUAACUUUACAAAUGUCUAUUGAAACAGCUGCAUAUAGUGUAGUACAGUAAAUUUGCAAUUACAAAAAUACAGUAGCAUACUGUACCUGUUCUCUUCCCUGAAUGUCCUUACUAUGGUGGACACAGAAAAUCGGCUCAAAUUGGGUUGCACUCUAAGUCCUGCUUCCCUCAUUGUCAGUCCAUGGACAAGAACAUGGUCUAUAACUGUUGCUCGAAUUUCAUCAGAUAUUUCCACUCUUUGUCUUCCUCUUCGUCCUCCUCUUCCUCUUUCUUGCCCUCCUCUUCCUCCUCGUCGCCCACCUCGCAUACGCACUCGUCCUCUCACAUUGUUUCUUCUAUCCAUUCUCAGACUUUCUCCUUCCCACCUUCAACAACCUGUUUGCUCUCUGAACUGGCUUAUAUUGGUUGUGUCGCAUCAUUUGAAACAGGUUAAAUCAAUUUUGAGUGGUUGUGUUCAAUCAAUGACAUGUGUUCUCUAUUUGUAUUUGAUUGUUGCCACUUGUGUUUACCAGUAUGGAUGACAUGUGCAUUAGAGUGCAGAAUGUGUUUUGAGAAUGAGAACGUGUUUAGAGUUUUGCUGAAAAGUCUAAGUGAGAUCUGCAAAUUGUGUUUUACCAUGUGAAUAAUUAGCUAAAUGAGUCCAGGCAACUGAGAACUUUGUUCAGCCAAUGGGUUUUAGUGUUUUAGCAAUUGAGAAAAACUGUAAUUCCAUUCCUUAACUUGGACUGUGUGUAUUGGGUAUAUGUUGUGAACUUGUUAGAUGUCACCUGUUAGAUAGUACUGCACUGUCAGAGCGAGAAACACAUGCAUUUCGCUACACGCGCCAUAACAUCUACUAAACACAUAGAUAUGACCAAUAAAAUGUGAUUUGAUUUGCUUUUGCAAUAGCUAAUGGGGAUCCUAAUAAAAUACCCCAAAUACCAAGCUUAUGGGUCUACUGUCUGUUACCAAUAUCAGCAAUAUUAUAUGCAGCAGCUUGUUUACUUGGAAUAAACAGAGCAAAUAAUGCAAAUGAAUACAAGUCAGACAGAGACUAAAUCGAAGUUUGAACGUAUUAUGGCUCAAUUUAAUUGAUCAAAUGUGUGUUGUGUUCUUCCAUAAUAAAAAGGCCAGGGCUUCUAGGCUGGUGUGUUUCAUUUUACCUACUCUAUAUUUGAGUUGGCAUAAUUCAAAUGGUUGCCAAUCUAUUCAAAUGAAGUUGUGCUGCCUAACUGUAACAUUGUAAAUUGUCAGUCAUCCUUACCGUUUCGAUAAGUUAGCUAACAGUAGCUUGUGAUCUUGGCUGCUUUCAGUCGCCCGCAACACCAGAAGAGGGACUGCAAGAGCAUGCGCUGUCGAGAGCGGUGGCUCUGUCAGUUAGCGAGAAAUAGUGAAAUGGAAUUAUUUUCUGACUCUCCCCAAGCGCAGAUCUCUCAGUAGUAGUGUUAACGUCACUGACACGCACAACCAAGGUAUCUCUAAACUACUUGCAUGUGCCAUUCCUAUCGCUCAGAUCACCAUAGGUGCAAUGUACCUGUAUGACUGCCCCCGGCAGCACUACAUCCCCAUUUACCUGGUGGUAAUGGGGGCCUCCGUCCUGGCCCUAGCCCUGCUCUCCUGCCUACCAUGUGCCCAGGACUCAGAAGACAUGCCCCCCAACCUCCUGAACCAUCUCUGCACCACCUGGAGCACCCUGGCCUCCCUCUUCCUCUUAUGCUGGUUCAUCAGCGGUAACGUGUGGAUCUACUCCAUCUAUCAGCCCAAUUUCAACCAGACACUGACUGAGGACCCCUACUGCAACAAGACCCUGUACCUGUUUGCCUUCUGGACCACCACGCUAGCCUACGUUGUGCCGGGCCUUCUGCUGCUGGGGGGAUGCUGUAUGCUUGUCUGUGCCUUUAUACUGGGCAAGACGGACCCUGAUGACAACAGAGCAUGAGGGAGAGGAUGAGAAGAGGGGAGGAGAGGAGACAACAGUACAAGACAGGAGGAGGAGGAGGGGAGAGUAGAGGGCAGUAGAGGAGAGGGGAGAAGGGAGGAGCGGAGGAAGAUAGUAUUGGAGAGGAGAAGAGGGGAGGAGAGGGUAUAAUGUUGACUUAACAAACUAGAGAAAACCAAUGGAAUCCAGUUAUCAAUUGAAUAACGAAUGAUGUGUUUAAACUGUUAUUAUAUAUUACUGUUUCUGUAUGAGAAACGUUGUUGCAUUCAUUCUCAUUAGCUCGAUUUUAAACUAUUUAUACAUUAUUAAAUGUAUUUAAAAAAACGUUCAAAUUGUGAAUAAUGCGCCUGCGUUUCAUGUCUUUAUGAUCCUAGUCUGGU